rfam:Xenopus laevis strain J chromosome 1S, whole genome shotgun sequence.
UCCAUUAAGGUGGGUGGAAUAGUAUAACAAUGUGCUAAAUGUUGUUAUAGUAUCCCACCUACCCUGAUGUA